UGAUUGGCCCGGGCGGAAGGCAGCGCCUGGCUUUAAAGGGACUGCGCCCUCCAGGGGCAGACGUGAGGGAAGUGACCUGUGGAGUUUGAAGCGGAGUCGGACCACUAAGAUCCUCCCCCACCCCACCCCCACCACCGCUGGAAGGAAUUUCGAAAUCACCCGGCCUGGUGCUGGUCGUACGCUAUUUUCAGAAGGCCAGAGAGAUUGUGCCACUUGUUCAACUCCACACAGUGCUCCUCCUGCUCUCCGUCUAUCUUCCAGAGUUGAGAAAAGGCAGGAGCUCAAGCCUUGACUGCAGAGGUGGACGAUGCUCAGCCAACCCCUGGCCAGGGCUCUGUCCAGAGGCAAGCUGAUGAAUUGGCUAGCUGGGAAAAAGAACCAAAAGCCCUCCACUGUAGCUGAUUUCAAGCCACCCAUGCGAUGUCACUGCAUGUAGAGUUGGGAAGAGACUCACAGAAUCAGCUCUUGCAAGCAGGUAGGAGCCAGCUCCAGCACACCACUGGCUCUGUCCCAGGACAGUCCCACUGCCAU
rnacentral:lncRNA from 1 species